rnacentral:rRNA from 1 species
CCUACGGGCGGCAGCAGUGAGGAAUAUUGGUCAAUGGGCGAGAGCCUGAACCAGCCAAGUCGCGUGAAGGAUGAAGGAUCUCGGUACGUAAAGCUCUAUCAGCAGGGAAGAAAAUGACGGUACCUGACUAAGAAGCCCCGGCUAACUACGUGCCAGCAGCCGCGGUAAUACGUAGGGGGCAAGCGUUAUCCGGAUUUACUGGGAGUAAAGGGAGCGUAGACGGCAGCACAAGUCUGGAGUGAAAUCCCCGGGCUUAACCGCGGAACUGCUUUGGCAACUGUGCGGCUAGAGUGCAGGAGGGGUAGGCGGAAUUCCUAGUGUAGCGGUGUAAUGAGUAGAUAUUAGGAGGAACACCGGUGGCGAAGGCGGCUUACUGGACUGUAACUGACGUUGAGGCUCGAAAGCGUGGGGAGCAAACAGGAUUAGAUACGCCUGUC